UACGUAGGUGGCAAGCGUUGUCCGGAUUUACUGGGCGUAAAGAGCGCGCAGGCGGUCGUUCAAGUCGCGUGUGAAAGCCCCCGGCUCAACUGGGGAGGGUCACGCGAUACUGAUCGACUCGAAGGCAGGAGAGGGUAGUGGAAUUCCAGGUGUAGCGGUGAAAUGCGUAGAUAUCUGGAGGAACACCGGUGGCGAAGGCGGCAUUCUGGACUGCAACUGACACUGAAAGACGAAAGCCAGGGGAGCAAACGGG
rnacentral:rRNA from 1 species